rnacentral:rRNA from 1 species
AGAGUUUGAUCCUGGCUCAGGACGAACGCUGGCGGCGCGCUUAAAACAUGCAGGUCGAACGUGAAGCCCGGGCUUGCCCGGGUGGAAAGUGGCGAACGGGUGAGUAACACGUGAGAAACCUGCCCCGGAGACCGGGAUAACCCAGGGAAACUUGGGCUAAUACCGGAUACCUUCAUCGGAUCGCAUGGUCUGAUGAAGAAAUGGAUUCCGCUUCGGGAUGGUCUCGCGGCCUAUCAGCUUGUUGGUGAGGUAACGGCUCACCAAGGCUUCGACGGGUAGCUGGUCUGAGAGGACGAUCAGCCACACUGGGACUGAGACACGGCCCAGACUCCUACGGGAGGCAGCAGUUAGGAAUCUUGCUCAAUGGGGGAAACCCUGAAGCAGCGACGCCGCGUGCGGGACGAAGGCCCUCGGGUCGUAAACCGCUUUCAGCAGGAACGAAAUUGACGGUACCUGCAGAAGAAGCCCCGGCCAACUACGUGCCAGCAGCCGCGGUAAUAC